rnacentral:rRNA from 1 species
AAGAACCUUACCUACUCUUGACAUCCAGCGAAUCCUUUAGAGAUAGAGGAGUGCCUUCGGGAACGCUGAGACAGGUGCUGCAUGGCUGUCGUCAGCUCGUGUUGUGAAAUGUUGGGUUAAGUCCCGCAACGAGCGCAACCCUUAUCCUUUGUUGCCAGCGCGUAAUGGCGGGAACUCAAAGGAGACUGCCGGUGAUAAACCGGAGGAAGGUGGGGAUGACGUCAAGUCAUCAUGGCCCUUACGAGUAGGGCUACACACGUGCUACAAUGGCAGAUACAAAGAGAAGCGACCUCGCGAGAGCAAGCGGAACUCAUAAAGUCUGUCGUAGUCCGGAUUGGAGUCUGCAACUCGACUCCAUGAAGUCGGAAUCGCUAGUAAUCGU